rnacentral:rRNA from 1 species
UGAAUCAGCAUGUGUGUUAGUGGAAGCGUCUGGAAAGGCGCGCGAUACAGGGUGACAGCCCCGUACACAAAAGCGUAUGUGCUGUGAGCUCGAUGAGUAGGGCGGGACACGUGGUAUCCUGUCUGAAUAUGGGGGGACCAUCCUCCAAGGCUAAAUACUCCUGACUGACCGAUAGUGAACCAGUACCGUGAGGGAAAGGCGAAAAGAACCCCGGCGAGGGGAGUGAAAAAGAACCUGAAACCGUGUACGUACAAGCAGUGGGAGCCCCACCACUAAGCCAGUGGUGAACUCCACAUACGCAUCCUUUGCUGAGGAUACGGUUAACGGAGCGAAAGCGACGUUCAACCGCAAAAGAAGCAGAGGGGGCUUAGUGGUGGGGUGACUGCGUACCUUUUGUAUAAUGGGUCAGCGACUUAUAUUCUGUAGCAAGGUUAACCGAAUAGGGGAGCCGGAGGGAAACCGAGUCUUAAC